rnacentral:rRNA from 1 species
CCUACGGGAGGCAGCAGUGGGGAAUAUUGCACAAUGGGCGCAAGCCUGAUGCAGCGACGCCGCGUGAGGGAUGGAGGCCUUCGGGUUGUGAACCUCUUUCGCCAGUGAAGCAGGCCUGCCUCGUUUGUGGGUGGGUUGACGGUAGCUGGAUAAGAAGCGCCGGCUAACUACGUGCCAGCAGCCGCGGUAAUACGUAGGGCGCGAGCGUUGUCCGGAAUUAUUGGGCGUAAAGAGCUCGUAGGCGGCUGGUCGCGUCUGUCGUGAAAUCCUCUGGCUUAACUGGGGGCUUGCGGUGGGUACGGGCCGGCUUGAGUGCGGUAGGGGAGACUGGAACUCCUGGUGUAGCGGUGGAAUGCGCAGAUAUCAGGAAGAACACCGGUGGCGAAGGCGGGUCUCUGGGCCGUUACUGACGCUGAGGAGCGAAAGCGUGGGGAGCGAACAGGAUUAGAUACCCUGGUAGUCCACGCCGUAAACGUUGGGCACUAGGUGUGGGGGGCCUUUUCCGGGUCUUCCGCACCGUAGCUAACGCAUUAAGUGCCCCGCCUGGGGAGUACGGCCGCAAGGCUAAAACUCAAAGGAAUUGACGG